GAUGAAGAACGUAGCAAAAUGCGAUAAGUAAUGUGAAUUGCAGAAUUCAGUGAAUCAUCGAAUCUUUGAACGCACAUUGCGCCCGCCAGUAUUCUGGCGGGCAUGCCUGUUCGAGCGUCAUUUCAACCCUCAAGCACAGCUUGGUGUUGGGACUCGCGUUAAUUCGCGUUCCCCAAAUUGAUUGGCGGUCACGUCGAGCUUCCAUAGCGUAGUAGUAAAACCCUCGUUUCUGGUAAUCGUCGCGGCCACGCCGUUAAACCCCAACUUCUGAAUGUUGACCUCGGAUCAGGUAGGAAUACCCGCUGAACUUAAGCAUAUCAAUAAGCGGAGGA
rnacentral:misc_RNA from 1 species